rnacentral:lncRNA from 10 species
CUUCUCUCCUGUUUUGGGGGGCUGUUCUUGCUUCCUUCCCUGCACUUAAAAUGUUCUUGUCUCUUCAACUGUCAUCCCCAAAUCAGCACGAGCAUGUCUGGUGCUCACAUUUCCCCCAUCUUUGGUUGAGUGUGUGUUUUUGUGUGUCUGUUAUUGUUUCCCUCCCCACCCCCCUUUAAUUAGAAGAACACUAUCAGAGACUCCAACACAUUCAGCUGGGUCUGAACUGACUGUACCCAUUAGGAAUUCUUAAAGUGCAGAUCGACUCUCCAAAAUGACUUUUUACAGAUGCAAAACUGACUUCAUGGGUUGCCUCACCCCCACUCCAUCUCCCGACGUGUAUGGUUUUUCAUCGCUGUUCCAAUUUAAAUUUCUCAGUCUACCACUCAAAAGAGAUGAUUUUUUUCUAAUAUCCAUCCUGCAAACUCCAUCUGGGAUCCCCCAAACAAGCUGUGUUCUUCUGUUUCUCUCACAGGCAGGAAUUAUAAAAAGUCUGCAAUAAGAGCAGGAAGGAGGUCAGACCUUCUUGGUCCUGAACCACAAGCGUUUUAAUGCCUGGAAACACACAGGGUAAUUGAACAGGGAAGAUAAAAUAAAUGUCCACUUAGAGGCGAUUGCCCCACCCUAUCCAUCCAGCCUGCGGAUCCGGUGCACAUCACCUUGGGAAAGCCCAAGUUACAGUCCACAAAAAACCAGAAGCAAGGAGCAUCUACUAUAAUCACAAUUAUCCUACGAUCUUCAUGCCUCGCAGGAUUACUAUCCUUCCAAGCUUUGGGCCUAGUGUCUUGUGUGAACAGAGAACCAGAUGGGAGUUUUGGGGGCUAAAAUGGAUCCACCAAUUAUUUAUAGAUUCGGACUAAAAAUCAUGUGAACCGCCUUCUGUGGAGUUCCAUCUUCCGAGAACAGACUUGAAAUAGACAUAGUUGUGGAAAGUCUCGGAAUCAUUUAGAAUAAUCCUGAACAUGGUAUUGCAAGUAGGGAAUGGUAGAGUGAAGUCUAAAGAAUGUUAAAAGCCCCUUCAAAAAGAAGGGCAGAGUUUUAGAACAAUCUUUCGGAGAGCUCUAGAAUCAGACCACGUGGUUCAAUUUUAUAUCCUGUUGGUCUUAGUAGCAUUGACCCUAGACAUUUUUUUUUUUUCCUGCUGAAAAAACCUUUAAAGUUUGACAUGACUGCUUUGCAUAGCUAAGUGUGACCAGCUUUGGAGAAGAAGAAAAUUGUUCUUACUGCCUUGCAUACGAUAGACAAUCAACAUUUAUUGAAAGGAUGAAAAUAAAAACAGACCUUUUA